AUCUAUGGCCAUACCACCCUGAAUGCACCUGAACUCCUCUGGUCUCAGAAGUUAAGCAGGGUCAGGUCUGGUUAGUACUCGGAGAAUGUAUUCCAGAUUCCAAAAUUA
rnacentral:rRNA from 1 species